rnacentral:rRNA from 1 species
UGGGGAAUUUUGCGCAAUGGGGGCAACCCUGACGCAGCAACGCCGCGUGGAUGAUGAAGGCCUUCGGGUUGUAAAAUCCUGUUGGGUGGGAAGAAUGAGGCGGCGGCUAAUAUCCGACGCUUUUGACGGUACCAUCCGAGAAAGCCCCGGCUAACCCCGUGCCAGCAGCCGCGGUAAUACGUAGGGUGCGAGCGUUAAUCGGAAUUACUGGGCGUAAAGCGUGCGCAGGCGGUUUUGUAAGCCAGAUGUGAAAGCCCCGGGCUUAACCUGGGAAUGGCAUUUGGGACUGCAAGGCUUGAGUGCGGCAGAGGAGACUGGAAUUCCCGGUGUAGCAGUGAAAUGCGUAGAUAUCGGGAGGAAUACCGAUGGCGAAGGCAGGUCUCUGGGCUGACACUGACGCUCAGGCACGAAAGCGUGGGGAGCAA